rnacentral:lncRNA from 1 species
CUGUGAUGCAAUGUAAGAGUUUGUGAUCGUUUAAACGGUGAAAAAUAAAUCACCCUGAAAGUUGGCCAAAAAAAAUGGUCUGACGUCACGUUCCCACAAUGCACGCGCCCGUCAGCUCUAGUGCUGCUGUGUUUAGAGGGAAAGAAACAGCAGGCCCGAAACAUACACACAUUAUUGAACAAAAAAAUUCAUUGUCGACUGCGAACAGUUUUUGAGAGUUCAUCGAGAUAUGGCUGGGAAUCGAUUUUUUUUAUCUGCACCCUUGUGAGAUGGAAGAUGGAAGAAUGCGCGUGAAAUGCAACUUUUGUGGGGAUCAAAAGUUUCUGAAGUCUGAACAUGCAAAAAAACAAUCUUCACUCCCAAGAAAAAUCACCCGUUGGAGCUUCUUGUCAGAUGUACAGUGACAUACUCCUUGAAAA